UACGGGGGGAGCAAGCGUUGUUCGGAUUUACUGGGCGUAAAGGGCGCGUAGGCGGCCACCGCAAGUCGACUGUGAAAUCUCCGGGCUUAACCCGGAAAGGUCAGCCGAUACUGCGGGGCUAGAGUGCAGAAGGGGCAACUGGAAUUCUCGGUGUAGCGGUGUAAUGCGUAGAUAUCGAGAGGAACACCUGCGGCGAAGGCGGGUUGCUGGGCUGACACUGACGCUGAGGCGCGAAGGCGUGGGGAGCAAACAGG
rnacentral:rRNA from 1 species